rnacentral:rRNA from 1 species
UACGGGGGGGGCAAGCGUUGUUCGGAAUUACUGGGCGUAAAGGGCGCGUAGGCGGUUCGCUAAGUUGGAUGUGAAAACUCUGGGCUCAACCCAGAGCCUGCAUCCAAAACUGGCGGGCUAGAGUUCUGGAGGGGGUAGCGGAAUUCCUGGUGUAGCGGUGAAAUGCGUAGAUAUCGAGAGGAACACCUGCGGCGAAGGCGGGUUGCUGGGCUGAUACUGACGCUGAGGCGCGAAAGCCAGGGGAGCGAACGGG